UACGGAGGGUGCGAGCGUUGUCCGGAAUCAUUGGGCGUAAAGGGCGCGUAGGUGGCCCGGUCAGUUCGUGGUGAAAGCGCGGGGCUCAACUCCGCGUCGGCCAUGAAUACUGCUGGGCUGGAGCACUGUAGAGGCAGGCGGAAUUCCGGGUGUAGCGGUGGAAUGCGUAGAGAUCCGGAAGAACACCGGUGGCGAAGGCGGCCUGCUGGGCAGUUGCUGACACUGAGGCGCGACAGCGUGGGGAGCGAACCGG
rnacentral:rRNA from 1 species